CGCUCGUGUAAUGCCAUUUUGAUAGGCCUCGCGCGGUCGUGUCAUUUUUGCCUCGUGGAGAAAGUAUUUUUAAUAACAGCGUGUUUACAGAUUUGAGUUAAUGACGCGACAGGCGCACAGCUGAUGUUUUUGCACUUUGACAGCGCGUUUCUGUUUUUCUCGGUGAUUUCUUGCCGUGUUGGAUGUGUACUUUUCUAGCGCAGUUUUCUUUCGGAGGUACAUUUGAACUGUUUACGACACAGACCUCCGUCCUGCGAACAAAGGAGCAACAAGGCCCGUGUUUUCGUCCAAGCGAAGCCUAAGUCGAGCAUUGAUUGUGGUGAUUUUUCUUCCAAAAGUCACCACAACCUUGUUUUAAAGCGAUCUUUUCAUUUUGAGUCUUUAUUGUAUUGCUAUUUACGUGUGACGAAUUGAGUCCUGUUAGCCCUGUGCUAAGGUUAGCCGCCACUCUGGACUGACAGUGAGCUAACAGCUAACUUUAGCAUUGUUUUGACUGGAGUUUUGACAAAGAGGACGCAAAGUGGAAAACAGAAUGGCUGAAGUGUACAUUCGUGUGGCUGAGGAGGAGAACGAAGAGCCGAUGGAGAUACCGUCCGAAGAUGAUGGUACGGUGCUGCUCUCCACGGUGGCCGCGCAGUUCCCCGGGGCGUGCGGCCUGCGGUUCAGGAGCCCCGUGUCCCAGUGCAUGAGGGGAGUGCGCCUGGUGGAAGGGGUUCUGCACGCUCCCGAGAACGGAUGGGGGAAUAUUGUGUACGUGGUCAACUAUCCGAAAGAUAACAAGCGGAAAAUGGACGAGACUGAUGCUUCGUCUGCUGUAAAAAUGAAGAGAGGAGACAUGAAGACGUCUGACCUCAUUGUUCUGGGUCUUCCCUGGAAAACCACAGAGCAGGACCUCAAGGACUACUUCAGCACAUUUGGAGAGGUCAUCAUGGUUCAGGUUAAGCGUGAGAGGGGAGGUAACUCGAAAGGAUUUGGAUUCGUGAGAUUUGCUGAAUACGAUGCACAAGAGAAGGUGAUCUCCCAGCGGCACAUGAUUGAUGGGAGAUGGUGUGAUUGCAAACAUCCAAACUCUAAGCAAGGUCCGGAUGAGCCUCUGAGGAGCAGAAAGGUGUUUGUGGGUCGGUGCACAGAGGACAUGACCACAGACGACCUGCGGCAGUUCUUCAUGCAGUAUGGAGAGGUCACCGACGUCUUCAUUCCAAAGCCUUUCCGCGCUUUUGCAUUUGUCACUUUCGCAGACGACCAGGUUGCCCAGUCUCUCUGUGGCGAGGACCUAAUAAUCAAAGGCGUCAGUGUUCAUAUUUCAAAUGCUGAACCUAAACACGGCAAUAGGCAGUUUGACCGCACGGCCCGUUUCGGCAACGGUUUUGCUGCUCAAGCGUUUGGUGGCAACCGCAGUGGGAUAGGGAGCAGCACCAACAAUAGCCUGGCAAAUUUCGGUUCCUUCAACCUGAAUCCUGCCAUGAUGGCGGCGGCGCUGCAGAGUAGUUGGGGAAUGAUGGGGAUGUUGGCGAGUCAGCAGCAAACGUCCAACUCUGGGAACACCUCCAGUGGCACCAGCACCAAUAGAGAACAGAACCAGUCAUUCAAUACAGGCAACAGCAACUACGGCAGCAGCUCAGCCAGUCUGGGCUGGGGUACAGGGUCUAACUCUACGACCGGAGGGAGUGGGUUUAGCUCAGGGUUUGGGUCCAGUAUGGAGUCAAAGUCGUCUGGGUGGGGUAUGUAAGUUAAGUGUUCAUAUGGUAAGUAUUGUGAGAGAGAGUUUAGUUCUGGUGUAAUGCGUAUGUGAAACUUAACUUUUUGUGGAAGAUGUUUUUGUACAUUUGAGAAAAAUGCUAAAGAUUUAAUUUAGAAAGUGUCGAAGUGAUUGUUUAUGAGGAUGUCCGACUUAAGUGCUAUUUUUGAUGUCUCAUUCGUUUGUGUGUAUCCAUUUCAACUGGAUUCUCUAAUGCAUGUAUUGUGAAAUGUUAUAUAAUCAUUUGAAAAUGCAUGAAUGUCUGUAGCUCACCAUUAUCUGGCAUUUCAUCUCCUAUGAAGGCAAUCUUGCAUUGGGAAGAAUCUGGUUGAAACGUAAAUGUUUUAAGUGCAACUUUAUUUGCAGUCAAGUUCUGGAAAAGCCUUGAUUGAAAAUCUCUUCUGCAGUUCACCUCUCUUCCAUUUCCCUGCGAGGAAGCUCCUCUUUGGCAGCAUUCUUGGGGUGAUAUCGCGUUCAUUGUCCCUCUCCCAUCUGUAAAUGCUAUGCCAUCACAGAACUUCACUUCGCAUGUUCUGAAAGACGGGACCUUGGGCUGUGCUGGUCGAGGUCUUGCCUGAAGGAGUCUGAAGGAUGAAGAUGGAAGUUCCCACACUUUGAGUGACAUGGGGUAGUACCUGUCUCCUAACUGCUUUAUGUGGCUUGUCCGUGAUGCUGUGUGGUUAUCCAGGCCUAGAGUUAAGAGUUUUUAGGUUUGUCAGUUGUAUCAGUGUAUCAUUUCUUUUUAAAGGUGUACACUGUAACUUCUCUGAUGAAGGGUGCAGUACAGGCUUGUCUCCAUGGAGAUGUUAUUGCAUCUCAGUAUGUCGUAUUUUUAUUUUAAACCCCCAAACUUGAAAAACUUGCAUUCACUGCUCCAAAAAUCUGGCUUGUAACUUGGUUGUGUGCUACCACCCUGGUCGUCUCCAUGGAGAUAUAAAAUUCAACUGUGGAACCUUCCAAGCAAAGCGAUAACCUUCCCAUAGAGACAAACUUGCAGCAAGCCCUAAACCAAAAAAGUUACUAAGUUCACCUUUAAAAGCAACUCCAGCAAUCUAAACUCCUGGACAGAAGUUAAGUCUACAUGGUAGACAGUGCCUAAAAUUUUAGUAUUAACACAAAGCAAUAUUUAUAGCAUCUUUUCUACCUAAUGCAGUAAUAAAACAAGAAUGUAGCUCCAAUCUGAACCCAAAGUCCCCAUGCAAAGAGUUGAGCAGAAUAACCAUGGGUAGUUUUUGUGUAAGUAUUUUAUUUACAUGUUGAGGUGAGGUGUGCAGGGCUGCUUGUGCCUAUAGUCCUUGGUCUCUGCUCUCCUCAGUGUCUUUACUUUUCCUCUUCCCAGUGCUCUUCUUUUCCUGGUUCAGUUCUUCACUUUUGUUCUGUAUGUACAUGGACUGAAGAAUAAAGUUUGUGAUUUCAAAA